UACGUAGGGUGCGAGCGUUGUCCGGAAUUACUGGGCGUAAAGAGCUCGUAGGUGGUUUGUCGCGUUGUUCGUGAAAACUCACAGCUCAACUGUGGGCGUGCGGGCGAUACGGGCGAGACUGGAGUACUGCAGGGGAGACUGGAAUUCCUGGUGUAGCGGUGGAAUGCGCAGAUAUCAGGAGGAACACCGGUGGCGAAGGCGGUGGUCUGGGCCGGCACUGACGCUGAGGAGCGAAUGCGUGGGUAGCAAACAGG
rnacentral:rRNA from 1 species